rnacentral:rRNA from 1 species
GACGAACGCUGGCGGCGUGCUUAACACAUGCAAGUCGAACGGAAAGGCCCUGCUUUUGUGGGGUGCUCGAGUGGCGAACGGGUGAGUAACACGUGAGUAACCUGCCCUUGACUUUGGGAUAACUUCAGGAAACUGGGGCUAAUACCGGAUAGGAGCUCCUGCUGCAUGGUGGGGGUUGGAAAGUUUCGGCGGUUGGGGAUGGACUCGCGGCUUAUCAGCUUGUUGGUGGGGUAGUGGCUUACCAAGGCUUUGACGGGUAGCCGGCCUGAGAGGGUGAACGGCCACAUUGGGACUGAGAUACGGCCCAGACUCCUACGGGAGGCAGCAGUGGGGAAUAUUGCACAAUGGGCGGAAGCCUGAUGCAGCAACGCCGCGUGCGGGAUGACGGCCUUCGGGUUGUAAACCGCUUUCGCCUGUGACGAAGCGUGAGUGACGGUAAUGGGUAAAGAAGCACCGGCUAACUACGUA